GGAGGCGUAGCUCAGCCAGGUUAGAGCUCUGGCCUCAUAAGCCAGUUGCCGUUGGUUCAAAUCCAACCGCCUCCAC
rnacentral:tRNA from 1 species